rfam:Rattus norvegicus chromosome 6, whole genome shotgun sequence.
GGGGAUUUAGCUCAGCGGUAGAGCGCUUGCCUAGCGAGCGCAAGGCCCUGGGUUCGGUCCCCAGCUCCA